GCAAAUCGCGGGCCAAUGUCUGCGAUGAUACAAACGAGUUUCUGACCUAUCUAACUUUAGAGUGGCAGGAGUAGGGGCUUGCCAUGGUGACAACGGGUGACGGGGAAUUAGGGUUCGAUUCCGGAGAGGGAGCCUGAGAAACGGCUACCACUUCCAAGGAAGGCAGCAGGCGCGACAAAUUACCCAAUACUGAUUCGGUGAGGUAGUGACAAGAAAUACCAAUAUAGGACCCAACGGGUACUAUGUUUUGGAAUGAGUACAAUUUAAAAACCUUAACGAGGAACAAUUGGAGGGCAAGUCUGGUGCCAGCAGCCGCGGUAAUUCCAGCUCCAAUAGUGUAUAUUAAAGUUGCUGCGGUUAAAAAGCUCGUAGUUGGAUUUCGGAGUUGUUAUCUGAACCUUCUCGCCAUAAAAAGUGGGGGGGCUAAGGUAGCAGUAGUUUUCAUCAUAGUCCACCAGGAUACUCUCUUGGUGUGUACUGGGUGUUAACCUCCUUUUUU
rnacentral:rRNA from 1 species